GAAAAUGAAGUCAUGCACAAGGGACAGCCAUUAUCAACCAUCUGCUAAAAGAGGUCACAUAAGACAACACAGAAAAACAUUUCAUAAACAAUUUUAAUCUUACCAACAAUGGCAUCCAGUCUUCUUAUGUCGAAGGGCCUCCUUAGCAACAUGUCGAAAGACAUACAGUAAGUAGAAUGGCCUGUCUCCAUUCAGAGUGCAUCAGCCACAAGCAUCCCCAUGAUCAAUACUAAGCGACCCUGAACACUGCGAGGUGUGUGAAAAGGAGUGAGUUCUUGUCGGUGGGAAAAGCGCUGCUUCGUCGAUACAGUCAGUCGUCAGAGUAAAGCAGACAUCUAUUUGCAGACAUCUCCAACCCCGGCUGGUAGUCUGUGAUCUCCUCAGAGCCUGACAAAAACCAUGCAUCAGGAUUUUUUGUGAUGUUCAUUUGUUUUAUGUGCCAUUAAUCAACAUUCAUAUCAUAAACAAUUGCCAGUAGCAAUACUGCACAUCUCAGCAGCAUCUUCUGAAGGAUUGCUGUGGGGCGGCAGAGGAAAACAAAUGUAGCACAACUAAAGGCCUACUAUAUCCUGCUGAAUUCCUCAGUCUUGACAGAGGAAGCAGGUCAUUAUGUGCAACUGCCUUAAGCCUUUAGACUGACUCAGACUGCUUUGUACUAUCACGUUAAGCCCCCAGGUCACGGUUUCAUCUAGUUCUGUGGGUUCAGUGAGGGGAGAAUAGUCUGAGUUAGUAGAAGCGGAGUGGAAAUCAGACCUGGAAUGUGUGGCUAUAGAUUAAGCCCCUGUUUAAACAUGGGGUUUAGAAGAAGACACAGUCAAUCUACUAAUUACAUUUGUUUCAGUCUGUAUUCUGCCUAAGUGAAAUUAGCAUUGUACAACAAUAGAUUUUUUAUUUUAAUAUGUUCAGUUGAAGAUCAACUAAUCAAUGUAAUGGGGCUAUGAAUGUCCCUUUGCACAAUAUGUAUCCUGAAGACUGUGUAGGCCUAUGCAAGUGACUGGGUCUCCUUUACCAUUUUUAUGAAAAAUAUGCAUGAAACACUCUGUCUGUCCGUGGCAGCUCACUGAGCUGUGAAAUUGGCCUUAUCAAGUUGUCCAUCUCUGUCCUCUGCUCUGGUCUCUUCUCUCUCCUCCGUCCCUCCCCUCCUCCCA